rnacentral:rRNA from 1 species
UGCAGUCGAGGGGUAACAGGGAAAAGCUUGCUUUUUUGCUGACGACCGGCGAACGGGUGCGUAACGCGUAUAGAAUCUGCCUUGUACAGGAGGAUAGCCUUUAGAAAUGAAGAUUAAUACUCCAUAAUGUUGAGAAAUGGCAUCAUUUUUUAAUUAAAGAUUUAUCGGUACAAGAUGACUAUGCGUCCUAUUAGCUAGAUGGUAAGGUAACGGCUUACCAUGGCGACGAUAGGUAGGGGGUCUGAGAGGAUUAUCCCCCACACUGGUACUGAGACACGGACCAGACUCCUACGGGAGGCAGCAGUGAGGAAUAUUGGUCAAUGGAGGCAACUCUGAACCAGCCAUGCCGCGUGCAGGAAGACUGCCCUAUGGGGUUGUAAACUGCUUUUAUACAGGAAGAAACUUAGUUACGUGUAACUAACUGACGGUACUGUAAGAAUAAGCACCGGCUAACUCCGUGCCAGCAGCCGCGGUAAUACGGAGGGUGCAAGCGUUAUCCGGAAUCAUUGGGUUUAAAGGGUCCGCAGGCGGUCAAUUAAGUCAGAGGUGAAAUCCCAUAGCUUAACUAUGGAACUGCCUUUGAUACUGGUUGACUUGAGUUAUACGGAAGUAGAUAGAAUAAGUAGUGUAGCGGUGAAAUGCAUAGAUAUUACUUAGAAUACCGAUUGCGAAGGCAGUCUACUACGUAUAUACUGACGCUCAUGGACGAAAGCGUGGGGAGCGAACAGGAUUAGAUACCCUGGUAGUCCACGCCGUAAACGAUGGACACUAGUUGUUGGGAUUUAUCUCAGUGACUAAGCGAAAGUGAUAAGUGUCCCACCUGGGGAGUACGAUCGCAAGAUUGAAACUCAAAGGAAUUGACGGGGGCCCGCACAAGCGGUGGAGCAUGUGGUUUAAUUCGAUGAUACGCGAGGAACCUUACCAGGGCUUAAAUGUAGAGUGACAGGGGUAGAGAUACCUUUUUCUUCGGACACUUUACAAGGUGCUGCAUGGUUGUCGUCAGCUCGUGCCGUGAGGUGUCAGGUUAAGUCCUAUAACGAGCGCAACCCCUAUCGUUAGUUGCUAGCAGGUAAUGCUGAGGACUCUAGCGAGACUGCCGGUGCAAACCGUGAGGAAGGUGGGGAUGACGUCAAAUCAUCACGGCCCUUACGUCCUGGGCUACACACGUGCUACAAUGGUAUGGACAAUGAGCAGCCACAACGCGAGUUGGAGCGAAUCUAUAAACCAUAUCACAGUUCGGAUCGGAGUCUGCAACUCGACUCCG